rnacentral:lncRNA from 1 species
GAAGUCGCGGCCAGGAGCGUGACCACGCUGGACCGUGUCUGCUGCCUCCCCGGGAGUCGCAAGUGCCCACAGGACAAGCAGGGGAAGCAAACUGGGCCCCUGGCUUCUGGGAAGACAGCAUGAGGGCAGACCAAGGAAAGGCAGCCGAGACCAGCAGACCUGCAAGGGAUCUCGGAGGCUCUCAGGCCCAGCUGCUUGCUGAAUAGGAAUUGGGCCAGCUGAAACCAGUUGAGACCCUUCAGCUGGGGAACCGUAUAUGUGCCCAAGAGAUGGCCAUUUGAUAUUGGAGGACCAAAAGCACCACGCUCAGAUCAGGCCAAUGCAUCUGUUUUCUGUAUGUGUCCUAUGAAAUGCCAUGAACCCCAACUAUGCUUGUACAGAACAAACCGGUUACGUCAUUCUUCCCCACUGCCAAUCACCUGUCCCCACACCUUAGAUCACCCCACUUCUCUAACCCAUUCAUAUCCCUAAACCUUGUCUUUGGGGAGGCAGAUUUGAACGCUGUUCUCCCACCUCCUUGCUUGGCAGGCUUGUGAAUCAAUCUUUUCUCUUUUGCAAAUCCCAAGUCACAGCGAUUGGCUGCACACUGGCAGAACAGAUUGGGACCUGGCGGGUGAUACCCAGAUAUGACACCUGGACC